UGCCAUGUCUGCCCGUUAAUAUUCGGUGCAUCAUUUGCAGUAACGCUCGUCGAACGUUUUAACAGCAACGUUAAAACCAUUAGCGUCACAGGUGCAGCGAUUUCAAGUUUGUUGAACCGUAGAUAACGAGCCGAGUAAAACGAACAGGGAGGAUGCACGAGGAGAGAGGGUACACAUUGGCGAGUACAUAAACAGUGUAGAACACCCUAUAGAAUAUAACAAUUAGAAGUAAUAUAUGUUAAAGCAGCAGAACAUAUUUUCAAAAAUAUUCUGAGCAAUCGAAAUAAUUUACACAACGGGAUAUAAUUAAAUCAAGGACCGUUAAUUAUGAAGAAAUUACAAUGAACAUAUAAUUAUAUCAAAGUAUGCAUAACGCAGAGAGCUUACUCGGGAACACGUCUGAUUCGCAUAGAUUCUUCGAAUGGCACCCUUCGAUAAUGGUACAAGGUUUACACUUAUCGCUAAAGCGUAAGGGAUACAUUACUCAAGAAGUCGUAACGUAAGCCAUCCGUUUGCACACUUUAAUUAUGACACAUAUAGUUGGCGAAGCAACCGCAUGAAAUAGAAUAUACCAUGAUACUUCAUCGUUUCAAUUAUGCAUCUCAAACGCGCCAUCUUGCGGGAAUUAAUAAAUAAGCGUGCUUGAAUAUUUCCAUAGUAAUCCGUUCGUACGAUGAGGAAUGGGAGUUAUCUGUUAAUACAUUGUAGAGUAACACAAUGAAGAUCUUUCCUUCACACGAAUACGCAU